rnacentral:rRNA from 1 species
UCGCCGCGGUAAUACGAGGGGGGCAAGCGUUGUUCGGAAUUAUUGGGCGUAAAGGGUGCGUAGGCGGUUCAGCAAGUCUCGUGUGAAAUCUUCGGGCUCAACCCGAAGUCUGCACGGGAAACUACUGGGCUUGAGUAAUGGAGAGGUGAGUGGAAUUUCCGGUGUAGCGGUGAAAUGCGUAGAUAUCGGAAGGAACACCUGUGGCGAAAGCGGCUCACUGGACAUUUACUGACGCUGAUGCACGAAAGCUAGGGGAGCAAACAGGAUUAGAUACCCGUGUAGUCCCUGUCUCUUAUACACA